rnacentral:lncRNA from 1 species
UGAAGUUUCAUAUGUCAUAAUAAAUUGCAUUUGAAGAGGAUUUCAGGUCUUAUAAUUUGUAAUAUAACAUUUCUUGAAGUGCAUUUACCCAGAGAGCUAUUCGGAUAACAAGCUGUAUCUACGAUGAUUACAAGAAAAAGAAUGAGAAGAAAAGAAAAGAAAAUGAGAAACAAAAAAGAAAAGUUAAAAAAUUACAAGAUCAAGAUCACAAUUCAGAAAACGAAGAAGAAAAAGAAUUGGGUGAACAUAUCAACCAUGCUGGACGGCUAUUGUUAAAUCACGGAUAUAUAGAGGAUGCUAUUAAAACUCACAAUAAGACUUUUCUGGACAAUACUACAGUGAAAGAUAUCUUAAAUGAAAUGUGGUACGGAACAGAGAAGAUAGAUUCAAG